rnacentral:rRNA from 1 species
GUCGAACGAACCUUCGGGUUAGUGGCGGACGGGUGAGUAACGCGUGGGAAUCUGCCCUCAGGAGGGGGAUAACGGUUGGAAACGACCGCUAAUACCCCAUAUGCCGAGAGGUGAAAUGAAUUUCGCCUGAGGAUGAGCCCGCGUCUGAUUAGCUUGUUGGUGAGGUAAUGGCUCACCAAGGCUUCGAUCAGUAGCUGGUCUGAGAGGAUGAUCAGCCACACUGGGACUGAGACACGGCCCAGACUCCUACGGGAGGCAGCAGUGGGGAAUUUUCCGCAAUGGGCGAAAGCCUGACGGAGCAACGCCGCGUGAGGGACGAAGGCCUCUGGGCUGUAAACCUCUUUUCUCAAGGAAGAAGAUAUGACGGUACUUGAGGAAUAAGCCACGGCUAAUUCCGUGCCAGCAGCCGCGGUAAUACGGGAGUGGCAAGCGUUAUCCGGAAUUAUUGGGCGUAAAGCGUCCGCAGGCG